UUUUAAAUCAGUACGGGUAAGGCGGCGGUCGUGGUAGGAGGGCUGGAUCUACGUCGGACCAACUGGGUGCCUGGGUUUGAAAGCGGUUAAGAUCCCGUGGGUCGCUCUCCUUUGAGCCCAGGCUGAGAUCCAAAGAAAGGAAGCAACUCCGUACGUGCACAGAGGCACGCCUUUCUCCACCUGCCUUGGACGUUCAGCCAUGAAUCCAGUUAUGCAAAAGCUGAUACGGCAUUAUCUGUUGAAAACCGAGUCGGGCGAUUGGGAAUGGAUCUGGAUGGAAGAUCCAUGGACUCACAAGUGGGAGCAGGUGCGGGUGCCGCGCAAGGAAGCUGAAAAGAGACGACAGCUAGGUCUCAAACCUCGUCCCUCGUAUUGGGGAGAGACAGAAGCCAAAGAGUGGAAACGGAAACUGAGAGAAUAGAGAGAAGCUGUGGCCCGUGAGUUGUGAUUGAUUUCUUUCCCCUUCUGACUUGGUGGCCUCUGUGUCUACUUAAUUUGUGAUGUCCAGAUAUUUUCCAUUGAAGGAUCCCUUCUCUCCUUUCUUAUCAUUCUUUGUCUUGUUGCGUAGUUAUGCAAAAGCUGAUACGGCAUUAUCUGUUGAAAACCAAGUCAUGCAACUUGGCAUGUAGCAGACAAAGUCUAUCGAGAUUUCUUAAUGUACAACUAUUUGCUGCUAAAUGUUACGACUUUUGUGUAACUGCACAACAGGAUUUUGACCUUUCUCUUUAAAUUGGAGCUGGCAUCACCUGAAAUAGAGGAACGUUUUCA
rnacentral:lncRNA from 1 species